AGUCGUAACAAGGUUGGCCCCGUUGCACCCCACGGAAGCCUUGUUGACCGUCGGUCCGCGCCGCGCCGCGGGCAACACUCGUCUGUUGCUGGAAAAGAAAUCUCACGCCGUGAGUUGACCAGCGGCCGCUGUGCGAGCGUACUGCGGCCCACAGAUCAAACGCGGGUGGCUAGAGAAUCUAGUUGAGAUAUGACCGUAACGCGUGGUGCAAGCGACGCGGCUGCUAGUUCCGUAGGUGAACCUGCGGAAGGAUCAUUACCGAGUGAAAGGGGCCUCGUGCUCCUCGGGGGCUUCGGCCCUCUACUCCUCACCCUGUGUCCGUCUACCUCUGUUGCCUUGGCGAGCCACGGGGUCUCUCCGCCCCGCACCGACCCCCGGGUGCGAUCGCGCCGGAGACGGUGAGAGCUCGUCGGAGGUCCCUACAAAGAACGCUUAUUAUCAGUGUCGUCCGAGUGUCUUUGGUAUAUAAUAGUCGAAAAACUUUCAACAACGGAUCUCUUGGUUCUGGCCUCGAUGAAGAACGCAGCGAAAUGCGAUAAGUAAUGUGAAUUGCAGAAUUCAGUGAAUCAUCGAAUCUUUGAACGCACAUUGCGCCCCUUGGCAUUCCGGGGGGCAUACCUGUUCGAGCGUCAUUGCACCCCUCAAGCUCUGCUUGGUGUUGGGCCCUCGCCCCCGCGGCGUGCCCGAAAGUUAGUGGCGGCCGGGUGGGGCUUCGAGCGUAGUAAAACAACCGUUUCGCUUUGGAGACCCGCCGCGGCCCGCCAGAACAGCGCCCAGUGCUUACAAUGAUUGACCUCGGAUCAGGUAGGGAUACCCGCUGAACUUAAGCAUAUCAAUAAGCGGAGGAAAAGAAACCAACAGGGAUUGCCUCAGUAACGGCGAGUG
rnacentral:sRNA from 1 species